AGGCUUAACACAUGCAAGUCGAGGGGCAGCAUGGUCUUAGCUUGCUAAGGCCGAUGGCGACCGGCGCACGGGUGAGUAACACGUAUCCAACCUGCCGUCUACUCUUGGACAGCCUUCUGAAAGGAAGAUUAAUACAAGAUGGCAUCAUGAGUCCGCAUGUUCACAUGAUUAAAGGUAUUCCGGUAGACGAUGGGGAUGCGUUCCAUUAGAUAGUAGGCGGGGUAACGGCCCACCUAGUCUUCGAUGGAUAGGGGUUCUGAGAGGAAGGUCCCCCACAUUGGAACUGAGACACGGUCCAAACUCCUACGGGAGGCAGCAGUGAGGAAUAUUGGUCAAUGGGCGAGAGCCUGAACCAGCCAAGUAGCGUGAAGGAUGACUGCCCUAUGGGUUGUAAACUUCUUUUAUAAAGGAAUAAAGUCGGGUAUGCAUACCCGUUUGCAUGUACUUUAUGAAUAAGGAUCGGCUAACUCCGUGCCAGCAGCCGCGGUAAUACGGAGGAUCCGAGCGUUAUCCGGAUUUAUUGGGUUUAAAGGGAGCGUAGAUGGAUGUUUAAGUCAGUUGUGAAAGUUUGCGGCUCAACCGUAAAAUUGCAGUUGAUACUGGAUAUCUUGAGUGCAGUUGAGGCAGGCGGAAUUCGUGGUGUAGCGGUGAAAUGCUUAGAUAUCACGAAGAACUCCGAUUGCGAAGGCAGCCUGCUAAGCUGCAACUGACAUUGAGGCUCGAAAGUGUGGGUAUCAAACAGGAUUAGAUACCCUGGUAGUCCACACGGUAAACGAUGAAUACUCGCUGUUUGCGAUAUACAGCAAGCGGCCAAGCGAAAGCGUUAAGUAUUCCACCUGGGGAGUACGCCGGCAACGGUGAAACUCAAAGGAAUUGACGGGGGCCCGCACAAGCGGAGGAACAUGUGGUUUAGUUCGAUGAUACGCGAGGAACCUUACCCGGGCUUAAAUUGCAGAUGAAUUACGGUGAAAGCCGUAAGCCGCAAGGCAUCUGUGAAGGUGCUGCAUGGUUGUCGUCAGCUCGUGCCGUGAGGUGUCGGCUUAAGUGCCAUAACGAGCGCAACCCUUGUUGUCAGUUACUAACAGGUUCCGCUGAGGACUCUGACAAGACUGCCAUCGUAAGAUGUGAGGAAGGUGGGGAUGACGUCAAAUCAGCACGGCCCUUACGUCCGGGGCUACACACGUGUUACAAUGGGGGGUACAGAGGGCCGCUACCACGCGAGUGGAUGCCAAUCCCAAAAACCUCUCUCAGUUCGGACUGGAGUCUGCAACCCGACUCCACGAAGCUGGAUUCGCUAGUAAUCGCGCAUCAGCCACGGCGCGGUGAAUACGUUCCCGGGCCUUGUACACACCGCCCGUCAAGCCAUGGGAGCCGGGGGUACCUGAAGUGCGUAACCGCGAGGAGCGCCCUAGGGUAAAACUGGUGACUGGGGCU
rnacentral:rRNA from 1 species